GGAUAUAGAGACCGGCGCACGGGUGCGUAACGCGUAUGCAAUCUACCUUUUACAGAGGGAUAGCCCAGAGAAAUUUGGAUUAAUACCUCAUAGUAUAGCUCUACCGCAUGGUAGUACUAUUAAAGUCACAACGGUAAAAGAUGAGCAUGCGUCCCAUUAGCUAGUUGGUAAGGUAACGGCUUACCAAGGCAACGAUGGGUAGGGGUCCUGAGAGGGAGAUCCCCCACACUGGUACUGAGACACGGACCAGACUCCUACGGGAGGCAGCAGUGAGGAAUAUUGGACAAUGGGCGCAAGCCUGAUCCAGCCAUGCCGCGUGCAGGAUGACGGUCCUAUGGAUUGUAAACUGCUUUUGUACGAGAAGAAACACUGCUUCGUGAAGCAGCUUGACGGUAUCGUAAGAAUAAGGAUCGGCUAACUCCGUGCCAGCAGCCGCGGUAAUACGGAGGAUCCAAGCGUUAUCCGGAAUCAUUGGGUUUAAAGGGUCCGUAGGCGGUUUAGUAAGUCAGUGGUGAAAGCCCAUCGCUCAACGGUGGAACGGCCAUUGAUACUGCUGAACUUGAAUUAUUAGGAAGUAACUAGAAUAUGUAGUGUAGCGGUGAAAUGCUUAGAGAUUACAUGGAAUACCAAUUGCGAAGGCAGGUUACUACUAAUUGAU
rnacentral:rRNA from 1 species